UUUUUUUGUUGUUUUUUCGUGAAAUUGGCUCUUAGAUGAUUCAUUUUAUGUUGAACGUAAGAGAACUACUUAUUAAAAUAACAG
rnacentral:sRNA from 1 species